GAAUAUUUACAAAAAAUCUACAGCUAUGGUCCCCUUCUGGAAUGGCAGCAUGAGAAGUUCUAAGGACCGGUUCCUCAACAGAAUAAGCAUAAAUGGGCAUUAUCUCUGGCAGGAGUGGAGCCUAACAGCUGUGUAUAAUCAAAGAAAGAGAUGAAGGAGCUCUGCUAAGACCAUGGUCAUCCCAGGUGACUGUGUGCAAGCUGCACCCUCUGGAGGGCAACAUCAGAGUCUUGGCACUGAAGAGGAAAUGGACUCUACAAAAACGUCUGUCCAGGGGCCUGGCCCAGUGAUGCAGCCGUUAAAUUCAUGCACUCUGCUUUGGUGGCCCAGCGUUCACCAGUUCUGAUCCUGGCCACAGACCUAUGCACCACUUGUCAAGCCUUGCUGUGACAGGCAUCCCACAUACAAAGUAGAGGAAGAUAGGCACAGAUGUUAGCUCAGGGCCAGUCUUCCUCAAAAAAAAAAUCUGUCCAGUACUAAACAAAUAAACAAUGAUGCAAUGAGACCCAAGGAUGAGUGAGUAUCCAAAGUUACUAUAAUAUAUCAUCUUAAAUGCCCAGUCCUCAACAAGUAGAAUAUUAUGAGACAGGCAAAAAGUGUGACCCAUACACCAGAAAAUUAGCAGGCAGCACAAACAUGGUCCCCAGACAUUUUUAUUUAAAAGGGACUGGGAAGUGGCAAGUAUUCAGAGAUUGUUAGACUUUUUUUUCAAAAACAAUAUCAGUGACCUCAGAAUUUGGUCAAUAGUUUUUUACUUCUCGAUUUUUAAAACUGGAAUGUUUAUAGAUGCUUGUUACAAAUGGGUUUUGGUUACCAUACUUUGUAUUCAUUAGAUAAAAGAAAUUAUAAAAUGUCCAAAAAGAAAGAAAGAAAAAAAUGCUUUGGGAAGUUACAGGCUUGUCAUUAUGGCCUGUAGUCUAAUCAUAGUUGCUAAGUACAGGUAAGAAUAUGCAAAUCACUAAAGGGAAGUCUUCAAGGUCAAAAGUCUUUAUGGUGCUUCAAAUUAUAUAAAGCAACACACUAGAAUCCCACUCCCCCCCAAAAGAAAAAAAAAGUAAAAUGGCAGUCAUAAGUCUAACUAUAUUAAAAACAUUGUGUGAACUGACUGAAUGAUCUGAUCGAAAAGCAAAUAUUGUCAGAUUAAAUUAAAAAAUCCAGCUAUAUGCUAUCUACAGAAAACACACUUCAGAAUCAAAGAUACAAAUAGACUGAAGGUAAAAGAGUAGAAAGACAUAUUGUGCAUAUAGCAACCACAAGAAAGGUGGAGUGGGUAUGCUAAUAUCAGGCAAAUUGGACUUUGAAACAAAAAAUGUUACUAGACAUAAAUAGAGACAUUUCAUAAUGACAAAAAGGUCAGUCCGUCAGGAAAAGACAACAAUUAUAAGCAUAUAUACACUUAACAGAGCACCAAAAUAUAUGAAGCCAAACUGAGAAAGAACACAGAAAUACACAAUUCAACAAUCACACUUGGAAACUUUAACAGCCUACUUUCAGUAAUGGAUAGAAGAAGUAGACAGAGGAUCAACAAGGAAAUUUAAGAUUUUAAAUACACAAUAAACCAACUAGACUAAAUAGACGUGUGUGGAACAGUCUACCACCACCGACAGAACGGACCUUCUUCUCAAGUUCACAUGGAAUAUUCUUUAGUAUACACCAUAUGCUGCACAGUAAAACCACUUUCAAUAAAUCUCAAAGCAUAGAAAUAAUAUGAAGUUUUCUGACUAUAAAAGAAUGAAAUUAGAACUCAGUGGCAGGAAAAGAAGUUGGGAAACUCAAAAAUAUGUGGAAAUUUAACAACAUACGUCCUUAAUGAUCAGUACUUCAAAAAAGAAAUCACAAGGAAAAGUAGAAACUAUUUUUACAUGAAUGGAAAUAAAGACCAACAUACCUAAAUUCAUGGGAUGCAGCUAAAAGCAGUGCUGAGAGGGAAAUUUAUAGUUGUAAACCUCUGUAGUAAAG
ensembl:lncRNA